ACGCCUACGGGGGGCAGCAGUAGGGAAUUUUCGGCAAUGGGGGGAACCCUGACCGAGCAACGCCGCGUGAACGAAGAAGUUAUUCGUAAUGUAAAGUUCUUUUAUCAGGGAAGAAAGAGGAAUUUGACGGUACCUGAGGAAUAAGCUCCGGCUAACUACGUGCCAGCAGCCGUGGUAAUACGUAGGGGGCAAGCGUUAUCCGGAUUUACUGGGUGUAAAGGGAGCGUAGACGGCAGCGCAAGUCUGAAGUGAAAUGCCGGGGCUUAACCCCGGAACUGCUUUGGAAACUGUGCAGCUAGAGUGCA
rnacentral:rRNA from 1 species